rnacentral:lncRNA from 1 species
CGUCCUUCUCUACGUACUAUACGGAGUGACCAAGUAUAAUAAUAUCUUGGCUGUCCGAGCAGCCCUUCGCGGUGGAUCGCGUCGACUCCCAGUCGUUCGCUGUUGGCAACAACCCCCCCCCCCGAAAAACCCGCGAUCGGCGCUUCGAUUGCGAAUUCCCUGCUCGGCCUCUUGCUCGCUGCCUUCUCUCCGUUCCAAGCAGCCGAUUGAAUGAAGCGUGGAAACGUGGAGUUGAGUUGGCUUGGCUUUUCUUGAAAAAAAAAAAGAAAGGCGCCUGGAGCUUCUUUCCCUCCGCCAGGUUUUGGAGCUUUGGAAAGGGGAUGGGGGUUCGUUUGAGAAAAGAGGAGGCUUUUAAAAAAGAGAAAUAAAUUAAAAACUCAUCUCAUUUUUUUAGAGACUCUCCGGCCGGCAGCGGCCAACAGCAGGCAGGCGUCCGAGUAGUCCUCCUACUCUCAUCGGGGAGGAGGAGAAAAAGGCCUACUCGGAAGUAAGCCUACAGCCCCGUGUUCUGCGGAGGGUGGCGCCCCAAGGCAGCGGGCGUCGGAUCGCCGCGUGGCAACCAGAAGCCCGCGCAGGACCCAACGAUGGCCACGAAAACUCCCCCGAGCAGCGGGCUAGUAUUGCAGCCUCUUUACUCAGCCGUAGGCGAGAUGCUACUGAAGCGAAUGCCUUGGAUUUCUCCUCUUUUCGACUAUUUCUGGUGAAGUCUAGGAAGUACCACGGGGUCCAAGAAAAGAAAAAGCAUAAGGGUGUUAAAGAAUUGCAAAGGAGAAUGAAGUUUAUCAUCUCUCUAUAAAGAUAUGCUUUUUUAAAAAUAAAAAAAUUAAAAGCCAGCUUGCUUUGAAAUUG